AAAAGGAAAGAUGGAAAGAAAGGAAGACACCAGACAAAAGGGACACCAAGAAGUGUCAAGCAAAUGAAGGUGCUAUUGGAGGAUUCAACAAAAGAUUUGAGAUCACUUCUUUUCAUGCUUAAUAUCUCCCAAAGGAGAAGAAGCCGCCCUAAAGUAUUCCAAAAAUAUGAGAGAUAAUCAACUUACAGAACAGCAGAGCUUCUCCAAAAGAGGAAGAGAUUGUUGAUUAACAGCUAAGAGUUGUGAUGAAGGAUGAACAGCUGAGUUUUUUCUUCCUUGAACUGGAGCUGAGGAUGACACAUCAAGAGGAAAUGCAAGACAG
rnacentral:lncRNA from 1 species